GCGUCGGUGGUCUAACGGCUACGCGCUAGAAUCAAAGAUUCGCUGGCUUACAGCGCUAGCGCGCUGUAAAUGACUGCGGCCUUCCAAGCCGCCUAUCCGGGUUCGAACAACUGAUGCUUGCCCUUAAAGCGAGCGCAGCUUUGAAAGUCCCGGCCGACGCA
rnacentral:tRNA from 1 species